UUGCCUCUUUGCCUGAUGUGUCUGACAACUACUGGCCCCACAGGAGCUCUGCCUUCCAGGCCUGGGAGGAAGAGGGAGUCUCUCCUGCUCAGCCUGGAGCUGAAUACCAUCCUGAUUCAGAGGAGUUCAAAGACUGGAGUCAUCUGUCUCUCAGCAACAUCAGCAGGGAGUCACCUGAGGGAGAAGAGGAUGAGUACUCCCUGGAUGAACGCUACCUGACUCCUUCCUUUGACUAUGAUGUGUCAGAGUGCUGCAGACCUUGCAGCCAUGAUGAGCAGGAGGGCUCUGCUCAGGAUG